rnacentral:sRNA from 1 species
UUCUAGCCCAGAUAGAAGUGAAAAUCCUUAUAUGCCAAUCCCGAAACUUCGGGACGGCAUAUAAGAUUGUAACGAAUAGCUGGACACGAG